rnacentral:lncRNA from 1 species
CAGGGGUCAGGCCAGAUUAAGCCAUAG